GGUGAGGUAAUGGCUCACCAAGGCCAUGAUCAGUAGCUGGUUUGAGAGAACGAUCAGCCACACUGGGACUGAGACACGGCCCAGACUCCUCCGGGAGGCAGCAGUGAGGAAUUUUCCGCAAUGGGCGAAAGCCUGACGGAGCAAUACCGCGUGAGGGAUGAAGUAUCUUGGUAUGUAAACCUCUUUUCUCAAGAAAGAAGUUCUGACGGUACUUGAGGAAUAAGCAUCGGCUAACUCCGUGCCAGCAGCCGCGGUAAUACGGGGGAUGCAAGCGUUAUCCGGAAUCAUUGGGCGUAAAGCGCCUGUAGGUUGUUUAGUAAGUCCAUUGUUAAAGACCAGGGCUUAACCCUGGGAAAGCAAUAGAAACUACUAGACUUGAGUAUGGCAGGGGUAGAGGGAAUUUCUAGUGUAGCGGUGAAAUGCGUAGAUAUUAGAAAGAACACCGGUGGCGAAAGCGCUCUACUGGACCAUUACUGACACUGAGAGGCGAAAGCUAGGGUAGCAAAAGGGAUUAGAUACCCCUGUAGUCCUAGCCGUAAACGAUGGAUACUAGGUGUUGUGCAGUUCGUACAGUAUCUUAGCUAACGCGUUAAGUAUCCCGCCUGGGGAGUACGCUCGCAAGGGUGAAACUCAAAGGAAUUGACGGGG
rnacentral:rRNA from 1 species